CUUCGGGGGGAAGCCGGUGGAAUGAGCGGCGGACGGGUGAGUAACACGUGGGCAACCUGCCUUUCAGACCGGAAUAACCCCGGGAAACCGGGGCUAAUGCCGGAUAAUCAAGCGGUUCGCAUGAACCGCUUGUAAAAGGGGGGAGUUUUCUCCUCCCACUGGAAGAUGGGCCCGCGGCGCAUUAGCUUGUUGGUGGGGUAACGGCCUACCAAGGCGACGAUGCGUAGCCGACCUGAGAGGGUGAUCGGCCACACUGGAACUGAGACACGGUCCAGACUCCUACGGGAGGCAGCAGUAGGGAAUCAUCCGCAAUGGGCGAAAGCCUGACGGUGCAACGCCGCGUGAACGAAGAAGGUUUUCGGAUCGUAAAGUUCUGUUGUGAGGGAAGAACACGUGCCGGUCGAACAGGCCGGCACCUUGACGGUACCUCACGAGAAAGCCCCGGCUAACUACGUGCCAGCAGCCGCGGUAAUACGUAGGGGGCAAGCGUUGUCCGGAAUUAUUGGGCGUAAAGCGCACGCAGGCGGUCUCGUAAGUCUGAUGUGAAAGCCCACGGCUCAACCGUGGAGGGUCAUUGGAAACUGGGAGACUUGAGUGUAGGAGAGGAAAGUGGAAUUCCACGUGUAGCGGUGAAAUGCGUAGAUAUGUGGAGGAACACCAGUGGCGAAGGCGACUUUCUGGCCUACAACUGACGCUGAGGUGCGAAAGCGUGGGGAGCAAACAGGAUUAGAUACCCUGGUAGUCCACGCCGUAAACGUUGAGUGCUAGGUGUUAGGGGUUUCGAUGCCCUUAGUGCCGAAGUUAACACAUUAAGCACUCCGCCUGGGGAGUACGGCCGCAAGGCUGAAACUCAAAGGAAUUGACGGGGGCCCGCACAAGCAGUGGAGCAUGUGGUUUAAUUCGACGCAACGCGAAGAACCUUACCAGGUCUUGACAUCCUUUGCCCGCUCUGGAGACAGAGUUUUCCCCUUCGGGGGACAAAGUGACAGGUGGGUGCAUGGUUGUCGUCAGCUCGUGUCGUGAGAUGUUGGGUUAAGUCCCGCAACGAGCGCAACCCUUGACCUUAGUUGCCAGCAUUCAGUUGGGCACUCUAGGGUGACUGCCGGUGACAAACCGGAAG
rnacentral:rRNA from 1 species